UUCGAAUCAGCAAAUUUAAUAAAUUAAACUUUGACCGACCGUCCCUAGAGCAAAUAACAAAAGGCUUGAAGGUUGGUACCCGAGAUCCCAAGUUCGAAUUUUAGUUGAUUCACAUUUUCAGCUAAGUUUAUUUCUAAAUGAAAUAAAUGAAGCGGGUAGCGUGCUACCUAUCUCUCUCAAAAAAAAAAAAAAAAAAAAAA
rnacentral:lncRNA from 1 species